AAAUUAGCGGAUGACCUGUGGCUGGGGGUGAAAGGCCAAUCAAACCGGGAGAUAGCUGGUUCUCCCCGAAAGCUAUUUAGGUAGCGCCUCGUGAAUUCAUCUCCGGGGGUAGAGCACUGUUUCGGCUAGGGGGCCAUCCCGGCUUACCAACCCGAUGCAAACUGCGAAUACCGGAGAAUGUUAUCACGGGAGACACACGGCGGGUGCUAACGUCCGUCGUGAAGAGGGAAACAACCCAGACCGCCAGCUAAGGUCCCAAAGUCAUGGUUAAGUGGGAAACGAUGUGGGAAGGCCCAGACAGCCAGGAUGUUGGCUUAGAAGCAGCCAUCAUUUAAAGAAAGCGUAAUAGCUCACUGGUCGAGUCGGCCUGCGCGGAAGAUGUAACGGGGCUAAACCAUGCACCGAAGCUGCGGCAGCGACACUGUGUGUUGUUGGGUAGGGGAGCGUUCUGUAAGCCUGUGAAGGUGGCCUGUGAGGGUUGCUGGAGGUAUCAGAAGUGCGAAUGCUGACAUAAGUAACGAUAAAGCGGGUGAAAAGCCCGCUCGCCGGAAGACCAAGGGUUCCUGUCCAACGUUAAUCGGGGCAGGGUGAGUCGACCCCUAAGGCGAGGCCGAAAGGCGUAGUCGAUGGGAAACGGGUUAAUAUUCCCGUACUUGGUGUUACUGCGAAGGGGGGACGGAGAAGGCUAUGUUGGCCGGGCGACGGUUGUCCCGGUUUAAGCGUGUAGGCUGGUUUUCCAGGCAAAUCCGGAAAAUCAAGGCUGAGGCGUGACGACGAGGCACUACGGUGCUGAAGCAACAAAUGCCCUGCUUCCAGGAAAAGCCUCUAAGCAUCAGGUAACAUCAAAUCGUACCCCAAACCGACACAGGUGGUCAGGUAGAGAAUACCAAGGCGCUUGAGAGAACUCGGGUGAAGGAACUAGGCAAAAUGGUGCCGUAACUUCGGGAGAAGGCACGCUGACACGUAGGUGAAGUGAUUUACUCAUGGAGCUGAAGUCAGUCGAAGAUACCAGCUGGCUGCAACUGUUUAUUAAAAACACAGCACUGUGCAAACACGAAAGUGGACGUAUACGGUGUGACGCCUGCCCGGUGCCGGAAGGUUAAUUGAUGGGGUCAGCGCAAGCGAAGCUCCUGAUCGAAGCCCCGGUAAACGGCGGCCGUAACUAUAACGGUCCUAAGGUAGCGAAAUUCCUUGUCGGGUAAGUUCCGACCUGCACGAAUGGCGUAAUGAUGGCCAGGCUGUCUCCACCCGAGACUCAGUGAAAUUGAACUCGCUGUGAAGAUGCAGUGUACCCGCGGCAAGACGGAAAGACCCCGUGAACCUUUACUAUAGCUUGACACUGAACAUUGAGCCUUGAUGUGUAGGAUAGGUGGGAGGCUUUGAAGUGUGGACGCCAGUCUGCAUGGAGCCGACCUUGAAAUACCACCCUUUAAUGUUUGAUGUUCUAACGUGGACCCGUGAUCCGGGUUGCGGACAGUGUCUGGUGGGUAGUUUGACUGGGGCGGUCUCCUCCUAAAGAGUAACGGAGGAGCACGAAGGUUGGCUAAUCCUGGUCGGACAUCAGGAGGUUAGUGCAAUGGCAUAAGCCAGCUUGACUGCGAGCGUGACGGCGCGAGCAGGUGCGAAAGCAGGUCAUAGUGAUCCGGUGGUUCUGAAUGGAAGGGCCAUCGCUCAACGGAUAAAAGGUACUCCGGGGAUAACAGGCUGAUACCGCCCAAGAGUUCAUAUCGACGGCGGUGUUUGGCACCUCGAUGUCGGCUCAUCACAUCCUGGGGCUGAAGUAGGUCCCAAGGGUAUGGCUGUUCGCCAUUUAAAGUGGUACGCGAGCUGGGUUUAGAACGUCGUGAGACAGUUCGGUCCCUAUCUGCCGUGGGCGCUGGAGAACUGAGGGGGGCUGCUCCUAGUACGAGAGGACCGGAGUGGACGCAUCACUGGUGUUCGGGUUGUCAUGCCAAUGGCACUGCCCGGUAGCUAAAUGCGGAAGAGAUAAGUGCUGAAAGCAUCUAAGCACGAAACUUGCCCCGAG
rnacentral:rRNA from 1 species